UUACGGUCAUAUCCCAUUGACACAACGGUUCUCAUGCAAUCAGCGAAGUUAAGCAAAAUCGAGUCUGGUCAGUAUUUCGAUGGGUGACCGCUUGGUAAUACCUGGCGCUGUCA